rnacentral:rRNA from 1 species
CCUACGGGUGGCAGCAGUGAGGAAUAUUGGUCAAUGGGCGCUAGCCUGAACCAGCCAAGCAGCGUGAAGGAUGACUGCCCUAUGGUUUGUAAACUUCUUUUGUAGGGGAAUACAGUGCCUUAUGUAUACUGCAUUGCAUUUACCUUACGAAUAAGUAUCGGCUAACUCCGUUCCAGCCGCCGCGGUACUACGAAGGAUCCGAGCGUUAUCCGGAUUUUUUGGGUUUAAAGGGAGCGUAGGCGGGUCGUUAAGUCAGUUGUGAAAGUUUGUGGCUCAACCGUGAAAUUGCAGUUGAUACUGGCAUCCUUGAGUACAGUAGAGGUAGGCGGAAUUCGUGGUGUAGCGGUGAAAUGCUUAGAUAUCACGAAGAACUCCGAUGGCGAAGGCAGCCUGCUGGACUGUAACUGACGCUGAUGCUCGAAAGUGUGGGUAGCAAACAGGAUUAGAUACCCCUGUAGUC